rnacentral:rRNA from 1 species
UUUUUACCAGAUCACGUAAAAUUUCAAAGGUCGAACAGACCUAAUAUUUCAGCUGCUACACCAAAAAUUAAUUUUAAUCCAACAUCGAGGUCGCAAACUUUUUUGUCAAUAAGAACUUUCAAAAAAAAUUACGCUGUUAUCCCUAAGGUAAUUUUUUCUUGUAAUCUAAAAAAUAGGAUCAAAAAAUCACUAAUUAAUGUAAAAAUAAAAUAAAGUUAUUUAAAUUUAUUUGUCACCCCAACAAAAUAUCAAUCAAAAUAAAAAGAAUAAAUAAACCUUAAACUAAUUAAAAAUAAGAUAUUAAACUCUAUAGGGUCUUCUCGUCUUUCUAUGAAAUUUAAGCUUUUUAACUUAAAAAUAAAAUUCUAAAACAAUUUAAAUGAGACAGUUAAUUUUUCAUCGAACCAUUCAUUCCAGCUUCUAAUUAAGAAACUAAUGAUUAUGCUACCUUUGCACAGUUAAAAUACUGCGGCCAUUCAAUUAGUCAUUGGGCAGGCCUGACCUUAAAUCAUAAAC